rnacentral:rRNA from 1 species
GAUGAACGCUGGCGGCGUGCUUAACACAUGCAAGUCGAACGGAAAGGCCCAAGCUUGCUUGGGUACUCGAGUGGCGAACGGGUGAGUAACACGUGGGUGAUCUGCCCUGCACUUCGGGAUAAGCCUGGGAAACUGGGUCUAAUACCGGAUAGGACGAUGGUUUGGAUGCCAUUGUGGAAAGUUUUUUCGGUGUGGGAUGGGCUCGCGGCCUAUCAGCUUGUUGGUGGGGUAAUGGCCUACCAAGGCGUCGACGGGUAGCCGGCCUGAGAGGGUGUACGGCCACAUUGGGACUGAGAUACGGCCCAGACUCCUACGGGAGGCAGCAGUGGGGAAUAUUGCACAAUGGGCGCAAGCCUGAUGCAGCGACGCCGCGUGGGGGAUGACGGCCUUCGGGUUGUAAACUCCUUUCGCUAGGGACGAAGCGUUUUUGUGACGGUACCUGGAGAAGAAGCACCGGCUAACUACGUG